rfam:Erwinia tasmaniensis strain ET1/99 complete chromosome.
GCCGUACACAAACAACGUUCCUUGCUUCCAUGGGCCACGGCUGACCCUGACAGGAGGCUGAAUAAUCCGUAAGGAGCAAAUUCGAUG